rnacentral:rRNA from 1 species
CCUACGGGUGGCAGCAGUGAGGAAUAUUGGUCAAUGGUCGGGAGACUGAACCAGCCAAGCCGCGUGAGGGAUGAAGGUACAGAGUAUCGUAAACCUCUUUUGUCAGGGAACAAAUGCGGGGACGUGUCCCCGGAUGAGUGUACCUGAAGAAAAAGCAUCGGCUAACUCCGUGCCAGCAGCCGCGGUAAUCCGGAGGAUGCGGGCGUGAUCCGGAUUUAUUGGGGUUAAAGGGUGGGCAGGCGGUCUGUUAAGUCAGCGGUCAAAGCCCGGGGCUCAACCCCGGCCCGCCGUUGAUACUGGCAGACGAGAGUAAGAGAGAGGGAUGCGGAAUGCGCGGUGUAGCGGUGAAAUGCAUAGAUAUCGCGCAGAACUCUGAUGGCGAAGGCAGCAUGCCGGCUCCACACUGACGCUGAGGCACGAAGGCGUGGGUAUCGAACGGGAUUAGAUACCCGUGUAGUC